UGGGGAAUAUUGCACAAUGGGGGAAACCCUGAUGCAGCGACGCCGCGUGAGCGAAGAAGUAUUUCGGUAUGUAAAGCUCUAUCAGCAGGGAAGAAACUGACGGUACCUGACUAAGAAGCACCGGCUAAAUACGUGCCAGCAGCCGCGGUAAUACGUAUGGUGCAAGCGUUAUCCGGAUUUACUGGGUGUAAAGGGAGCGUAGACGGAUGUGCAAGUCUGGAGUGAAAGCCCGGGGCUCAACCCCGGGACUGCUUUGGAAACCGUAGAUCUAGAGUGCUGGAGAGGUAAGUGGAAUUCCUAGUGUAGCGGUGAAAUGCGUAGAUAUUAGGAGGAACACCAGUGGCGAAGGCGGCUUACUGGACAGUAACUGACGUUGAGGCUCGAAAGCGUGGGGAGCAAACA
rnacentral:rRNA from 1 species